UGCAACCUGAGCUCAGUGUAAAGCCUCCUUCUCCUUCCAGAGAUGGGAAGUUAACACAAAUCUGCAAAUUCACACAAAUCUGGUAUUGUGAGUGUUCCUGCAACAAGGUAUCAUGGAACAGGACUUCUUUUCAGUCUGGAGAUACAAGUCUUGAGAUUCUAGUCUUACUGACCUUGCACUGACAACCAGCCAGCUAAUUCUGAUUGACCAGUAUCAUCUUCACAAAGAAAUGAUGAUUUCAAGACCCUUUUUCUCCAGAAUCAGUCAAAAGCUGCUGAAAGUUCUGUCCUGGUAUGGAGUGUGUCUCUCAGAGUCCAGAGCCUUUGGUUACCUUUCACAGAGUGACCCAGAGCCCAGCAUGGGAUGGUUAUUGCCCAAAAGAAGACCAGUGCAGGUUGUGGGAGCACCCAGUUGUUUCUGACUGCUCAGUGUGGGGAUCUCUGCUCCAAAAGUAUCCAGGAAAAGGCUUCUGCUGCCGACCAUCUGCAGCUGCUGUCGGUCAGGCAUUGAUCUGACCUCUGAGGGACAGAAAUUCAUUCUGUUCCCUGCCUGCUCGUUCAAGGCUUUUUAUCCUGGCAUUUAAAUUGGAUUUUAUUCAAUUUUAUUUAAAUCCACUGUAUCAACACUUAAUGAACAGAAGCCCUCCCACUCUGCUCUGUGGCAUCCCAUUGUAUAGCAGCCUUUUAUUCUUGU